rnacentral:rRNA from 1 species
AAGCGGAGGAAAAGAAACCAACCGGGAUUGCCUUAGUAACGGCGAGUGAAGCGGCAAAAGCUCAAAUUUGAAAUCUGGCGCCUUCGGUGCCCGAGUUGUAAUUUGUAGAAGGCUGCUUUUGGGGUCGGUCCUUGUCUAUGUUCCUUGGAACAGGACGUCAUGGAGGGUGAGAAUCCCGUAUGGCGAGGACCCGUGCUCCUUGUAAAGCGCUUUCGAAGAGUCGAGUUGUUUGGGAAUGCAGCUCUAAGUGGGUGGUAAAUUCCAUCUAAAGCUAAAUAUAGGCGAGAGACCGAUAGCGAACAAGUACAGUGAUGGAAAGAUGAAAAGAACUUUGAAAAGAGAGUGAAAAAGUACGUGAAAUUGUUGAAAGGGAAGGGCAUUUGAUCAGACAUGGCGUUUUGCGCCCCCUGCCUCUCGUGGGCGGGGGAAUCUCGCAGCUCGCUGGGCCAGCAUCGGUUUUUGCGGCAGGAGAAAUCCUUGGGAACGUAGCUUGUUUCUUUGAUUCAAGUAUUAUAGCCCUUGGGAAUACUGCCAGCGGGGACCGAGGACUGCGGUGCUUGUCGCCAAGGAUGCUGGCAUAAUGGUUAUAUGCCGCCCGUCUUGAAA